rnacentral:rRNA from 1 species
UACAGAGGUCCCAAGCGUUAUUCGGAAUUAUUGGGCGUAAAGGGCGCGUAGGCGGCGCGGUAAGUCAAAGGUGAAAUCCCUCGGCUCAACUGAGGAACUGCCUUUGAUACUGCCGUGCUCGAGGCCGGGAGGGGGUAGCGGAAUUCCCAGUGUAGCGGUGAAAUGCGUAGAUAUUGGGAGGAACACCAGUGGCGAAGGCGGCUACCUGGACCGGUUCUGACGCUGAUGCGCGAAAGCGUGGGUAGCAAACAGG